UAUUUUUUUAUUAAUUAUCAAGUAUAAAGAACAAUGCAUAGUGUGAAAACGCGGAUUAUAAAAAAAGUAUAUUAAGUGCGAGCAGAGGAUCAAGCAGAAACAACGCCAAAGGACUACAUUUCCCAGGAUGCACCUCCACCCUUCAGGUGCGACCGCUUUACCUAUGGGCUUGACGGGAAGAUUCAAAAUCGCGAACCGUUACUGCAUGGAUUACUCUCGGUCUCUUUGUUUGCUCAUCGACAUUACGAGGUCAUGUACACUGUGGUCAACUUUGUGGAUGCUGAAUAGGUUUCUGGGUAAAGAUGAUAGAAAUAUAAUGAAGUAACAGUGGAAGCUAAAACAUCAGACUGAUCUAGACACUGAAGAAAUUGAUGUCACUGCAAUCUGGCCAAAAUGAUACAACAAUAUUGAACUAGCCUACUGUAAUGAGCUGCAGAACAACACAGAGACUCCCAGUACAUCAACACAGAAAAUGAAGGCUCCAAAGAGAUGUCUGUCCAGAUGAGGGUGCAUCAACUUUACCUUUGCUGACAACAGUUAACUUAACUCAAACCAUUUAAGGAAAUCGGUUGCCUUAAACCAUUAAGUUUUAAAAAAAACAUACAUUUGAGUACUGUGAACUUAAGUCUUGUGCAAUUAUGCACUUAUAUUUAGGUAGUGUGAACUUAAAUAUAAGUGCAUAACUGCAUGUGACUCUCAAUUUUUUUAAGUUCACAGUACUCAAAUCUAUGUGUUUUAAAACUUGAAUGGUUUAAUGCAACCGGUUUUCUUAAAGGAACAGUAUGUAAGAAAUUUAUAUCAAUUAAUCAUUAAAUGGCCCUGAAAUGUCACUAGACAUUAAGAAAUAAUUUUCAUUUCAAAUACUUAUAUCACUCACAACAGCGGUCUGGCCAAGAUAUUGUCAUUUAAAAAGUGGAGUUGCAGCCCUCAACUGAUGUUUAUGUUGUCGUUUGGUAUAUUGGCCACCAGCUGUGGGAUUGCAGUACCAGUUUUAGCCACACGUUUUGUGAUUGCAAUACCAGUUUUGGCCACAAUCCUACAUACUGUUCCUUUAAAUGUGAGAAAUGACAGUGUUACAGUGAGAAAUGUUUGAUUAAUUCCAAGACAGAGCUCUGCUAUUGAAUCUACACUGCAAAAAAUCACUUUCUAACUUAGGAUUUUUAUCUUGUUUUCAGUAGAAAAACUAAAAAUUCUUAAAUCAAGAUGUAUUUUCUUGAUGAGCAAAAUUACCUUAGAAAAUAUGUGUAGUUUUUAGACAAAAAUAUACAAUUUAAGUAAAUUUGUGCCUAAACAAGCAAAAAUAUCUUAACAGUGGAGUGAGAAAAUUGUGCUUAAAUUAAGUUUUUAUGAAAAAAGAAAAUGUAAGAUUUUUUUCUCACACCAUUGGCAGAUAUUUUUGCUUG